rfam:Mixia osmundae IAM 14324 DNA, contig00274.
UUUUUUUUUUACGCCUUUUUUUAUUCUAAGUUAUUCUUAGAAUAAAAAAAGGCGUAAAAAAAAAAUAAAAAAAAAGGAAAAAUUGCGCCGAAGAUUUAUCGGAUCUUUAUUAUAAACCGAAAUUAUGCCUAAUAUAAAAGUAUUUUUAUAUUGAGGGUAGCGGAACAUUCAGUGAAUUUGAAGAAUAGUAUUUUAUUAUUACGAUUUAACUGAAUAGAAAAUGCCGACAUGAGUAACGUAAAAAGGAGAUAUAAUUCUCCUCGCCGAAUGCGAAAGGGUUUUGAUGCUAGUUAAUCUAGCCAGAGUUACAACGGCCUCUAAGGUUCAAGUGCCAAAGCCUUGUCCGAUGAGAAUUAUUACUUAAAAGAUUAAACUCAAGAAAAAAGGUAAUAUAUAUACCGUACCCUAGACCGACACAGGUUCGCAAUUAUUUCAGUAUACUGAAAUAAUAAAGGUAGAGAAUACUAAGGCGAUGAGAUAAUACAAGUUAAGGAACUCGGCAAAUUGUCUCCGUAACUUUGAGGAUAAGGAGAACCAAGCCGGGUUGUUUAUUUAUAAAUUGGGGGGUUUUCAAGUAAUUCUUGGAAAUUUCCCGCACCCGUUGAUGGUGGCACAUAAUCGGGGGGUACGACUGUUUACCAAAAACACAAUGAUUUGCUAAUACUAAUGUAGUUGUAUAAGUCAUGAACUCUGCCCGAUGCUAGCGCAUAAAAAAAAGGUCUUUUGGCCUUUGAUUGAAAAACUAGUCAAUGGCGGUCUUAACCAUAAGGAUCCUAAGGUAGCGAAAUUUAUUGUCCGUUAAAUGCGGUCCUGCAUGAAUGAGGUAACGAUGCUCCUGCUGUCUCAACUUGUAACUCAGUGAAAUUGAAUUAGCCGUGCAGAUGCGGUUUAUCCACAGUUAGACGGGAAGACCCCAUGCAGCUUUACUGUAGGUAGUUAUUGUGGUAUCAAACGCAUGUUAAAAGAAAGUCGAUUGGAAAGGAAAACUUUCAGACAAAAAUGCAAAACCUAAACAGAGCUUUUGGUAUUAUCUAACCUUUAUUCGGGCUACGUUCGUAGUCCAGAUCAUGGAAAAUUGACUAUUUGGCAGUUUCACUGGGACGGUGGCCUCCAAUAAAAUAUCGGAGGCGUCCAAAGGUACGUUUAAGUUGGCUGGAAAUCAAAUUGCUAUGAAAAGCAUAUUCACGUUAAAUGAUAUAAACGUUGCUUAACUGUAAGACCGAUAAGUCAAGCAGGUACGUAAGUAGGGCAUAAUGAUCCGGUAGUAUAUUAUGGAAUAGCUAUCGCAUAACAAAUAAAAGCUACGCUGGGGAUAACAGGCUGAUUGCGGACGAGAGUUCAUAUUGUCUCCGCAGUUUGGCACCUCGAUGUCGACUCAUCACAUCCUCCUGGCGUAUAACCUAGGAAGGGUUCGGCUGUUCGCCGAUUAAAGUGGUACGCGAGUUGGGUUCAAUACGACGUGAGUCAGUAUGGUCCCUAUCUUCUGUGGAAAAAAGUGAAGUAAAAAUAUCUCUUCAGUACGAAAGGACUUAGAGGUGCGUUCCUCUGGUGCACCUAUUGUUUUGAUGUAAGGUUAAAGUGACUAAUAAGCACAGUAGGGUAGCUACGAACGUAAAGGAUAAGAUCUGAAAGCAUAUUAAGAUUGAAGCCCAUUUUAGGACACUUACUUAUUUAUCGUUUUGCCUUUAUAUUCUUUUUUCAGCUUUUUAUUCCCGUUUUUAUCAGCGGUCCUGAUAAAAACGGAAAUAAAAAGGACUGAAAAAUAAAUAAAAAUUAACGUACAAUAAAACAACAAGAACGAGACUAGUUCUUUGAUAGGCUAGAUGUGUAAGUAUUGAAAAAUAUUCAGCUGACUAGUACUAAUUUGUUGUUAGACUUAAUAAU